rnacentral:sRNA from 1 species
CUCUGCGAGUACCUGAAUGCUUACUCUGGGAGGAAGUACCAGGCAGACCGGCUUCAGGGGGUCAGUCCUUCCCGUUCUGUGCUAGAUUGCUGUAUAAGGACCUCACAGCAACUCUUCCCACUGACGUCACCGUGACAUGUCAAGGAGUGGAAGCAUUAUCCACUUCGUGGGAGGAACAACGAGCAUCUCAUGAAACUCUGUUCUGUACGAAGCCCUUGCAUCAAGUGUUUGCCUCAUUUGCAAGAAAAGGAGAAAAGUUGGAUAUGAGUCUGGUCUCCUAAUAGAUCGUUUUUACUGCACUGGGAGCACAUCAGAGAAAUAAAUCCCCCCUCCCCUGCCAGGUGAAAGGAAAUAUUGCACUUUCUGUUCUCAUGACUAAGGGGACAGGAGUUCCAGAAGAACCUUUCAAGAUGAUCAGGAACACCAGGAUGAGGGCCAUCUCACCUCACUCGGACCACAUGGAGACUUCCCCUUUAGAAUGGGCGCAAAACAUUUGCCAGCCACGUCUUGCCCCACUGAGCCCUGUCUGAAGCGGAGCUUCCCUGCCUGUGCUCCCUCCACAGUCCUGGAAAGCCCAGCAGCAAAGGCAGCUUCGUCCCAGCUCUGCCACCCUCCUGCUCACUGUGCUCCCUCCACAGUCCCGGAAAGCCCAGCGGCAAAGGCAGCUUCGUCCCAGCUCUGCCACCCUCCUGCUCACAGUGGUCAGGGCCCCUCAGGGGCAAGGACAGCAGGGAUUGGAACGAGGGCUCUGGAAGGACUGUUCAGCCCUAUGCCUAAGACCCCUAUGCUGGGGACGCUACAGGCACACAGAGGAAUAGCAGGGCCACCCUCAGAGCUCACACAGCCACGAACAAAUGAAGGCUGAGGAGAUUUCUAAACCUAAAGUCCAUAAGUGUGCACUUCAGUCCAGGAAGGUUGGGACUUCCUUCAGUUUCAAAAAAUAAA